rnacentral:rRNA from 1 species
UACGGAGGAUGCAAGCGUUAUCCGGAAUCAUUGGGCGUAAAGCGUCCGCAGGUGGUUAAUCAAGUCUGCUGUUAAAGACAGAAGCUCAACUUCUGAUAGGCGGUGGAAACUGGUUAACUAGAGUACGGUAGGGGUUGAGGGAAUUCCCAGUGUAGCGGUGAAAUGCGUAGAUAUUGGGAAGAACACCAGUGGCGAAGGCGCUCAACUGGGCCGUAACUGACACUCAGGGACGAAAGCUAGGGUAGCGAAAGGG